GAUGAACGCUGGCGGCGUGCCUAAUACAUGCAAGUCGAGCGAACGGACGAGAAGCUUGCUUCUCUAAUGUUAGCGGCGGACGGGUGAGUAACACGUGGAUAACCUACCUAUAAGACUGGGAUAACUUCGGGAAACCGUAGCUAAUACCGGAUAAUAUUUUGAACCGCAUGGUUCAAAAGUGAAAGACGGUCUUGCUGUCACUUAUAGAUGGAUCCGCGCUGCAUUAGCUAGUUGGUAAGGUAACGGCUUACCAAGGCAACGAUGCAUAGCCGACCUGAGAGGGGGAUCGGCCACACUGGAACUGAGACACGGGCCAGACUCCUACGGGAGGCAGCAGUAGGGAAUCUUCCGCAAUGGGCGAAAGCCUGACGGAGCAACGCCGCGUGAGUGAUGAAGGUCUUCGGAUCGUAAAACUCUGUUAUUAGGGAAGAACAUAUGUGUAAGUAACUGUGCACAUCUUGACGGUACCUAAUCAGAAAGCCACGGCUAACUACGUG
rnacentral:rRNA from 1 species